GGGGAUGUGAAUGGUUUCGACGCGAUGUAAGCCCGAAGAGGAAAUUCGCGGACACGAGUUCAAUUCUCGUCAUCUCCACCA
rnacentral:tmRNA from 1 species